GAUUCGUUGGGGUAAACACUAUUUGUUUUAAUGCGAUGACUUUAGGAUAUAUAUCACUGGCUGUUACCGUCUCGUAAUGUUCUUUAUAAACUAGAUACAUUGCUAUAAGUUUUCAAAAUUCUAACAUAUCUCUGAUCAGCCAAUGCCUUUUCAGCUGAUUUUGUUGUUUGUUCUAUUGAGCUGUUUCACCAGUACUAGGUUAGGGAAAGAAUUUAGAGCAAACAAACAUAUUGUCACAAAUUAUACCCCACCAUAUUCUUUAUGUGCCUUUUUUAUGCCAGGAGUCUGUAUUCCAGUGGUUGUCAUAGUAGCCAUCUGUUGUUAUAGUAAUUAAAUUUAUAUUUAGACCAUAGUUUACCCUUUUGAACAUUUUUCACAUUGUUAUGGCCCCGCAACGCAAACCAUUAUACAGCGUUUUUUUCUAAACACCUUCAGAUAUUGGGCUGAUUUUUGGUAUGUGAGUUAACCAUGAUGAGUUACAGAUCAAGUUUAAGUUUCGUUUUGCUCCACUAAUUUUUGCCAAAAUUAAGGGCUUUGGAAUUAUUGAAAAUCACAGUUAUACAGAUUUUUUCUCUAUUCCCCUC
rnacentral:lncRNA from 1 species